ACAAAAGCCUCUCUCAAUUAGGGCAAGAAACCAGAUGGAGCCACUGCGCAUCUCUCUCUCUCGUCCCAUUUCAUCUAAUCUCAUGUUUCCUCUUCCUCUCCUCUUUCUUUGAGCCCCGAUUUAGUUUCGUACCAUGCUCUCGGUAACGGGCAGGGGAAGAGCCAGAACCAAAUGGAAUUCCCAAACUAAAAUCAUCGGGAGACGGAGUGACUAGGGGCGAGAGCAGAAGUGCAGAAGCAGCAGAACCUGUGGCGAGUCGCGAUGGUCGAUGAGUUGUGAGUGUCAAUUGUCGAGUUGUGGGUGCCAGUUCUUGGGGUGAUGGAGAUGGAUUGACAGUGUCACGGACCUCUUCAUGAGUCGCCGAGUUGGCAAGCGCCUUUUAAUUUUCGGCCCUGUUCAAUUCUUCUGUAUGGCGUUAGCCCUAUUUUUGUUACUUUUUUUUUUUUAAUUAUUGUUUUUGCUCUGUGUUGAGUGUUGACGGAAGGAAUAGAUUAUGGUGGAUACACACUAAUUAUUCCAAAAAAGGAUUGUGGUAAAAGAAACUAUAUUUUUAUAAUAAUUAAUUCAUGUAAAGCUGGCAGAAUCAAUUGCGUUUGGAUUCUGAACUUAUGAAUAGAUUUAUCCCAAUUUUACAUUAAUUAUAUAGAUUUCGUGCAUUUCCCACGUAGUUUUUGUUGAGGAAUCACAUUACAGCACUGAAUUACAAGUAAUAUAAGAUUUUCUUGUUGAAACGGAAUAGGUUUUAUUGAACUUAAUCGUGGCGUUUGACUUAUUGAUGUUCAAUUUUCAUUAUCUUAUCUAAUUGUACUCAUCAAAUGAAUUGAAGGCUCGGGAGGAUUGGCAUAGUAACGAGUAAGUCUUGCGUUUUUUGGAUUCCUUAAUUAUACAUUGUAGUCUCUUUUUAUUCCCUUUUCUCUCCUUCCAGUAAAAGAGCCAAAGUUAAAACAAGAAAAAGGUUACCUUUCAGAUCUACAUCUUAUGCUCUAUAACCAACCAUAAAUAAUGGUUCUGUUUUAGCUCAUUUCUUAUUGAAAGAGAAAUUGCAGAAUUAGGAAUAUUCGGAUGCAUCUGAUAAAUAGUGGGUUCGUUGACUAGAAUACGGUUGUGGACCUUUUGGUGUGACGUCUCUUAGUUGAAUGAUUAUGGAAAGAUGUCAAUAUUGAGGGAAUGACUCUACUAUGAAGGCUGUUAUAAAUUUGUAGUGCAAAUAGUAUAUUAAUGAGAAGAAUUGGACAUAUUACAAGAUACCAAGAUCAAAAUGGGUAGAAAUUUGGCAUGAAGCAUAGAGAAACCCAUUCUAAAAAAAAAAAAAAAAAAAAAACACCAUUAGGUUGAUUUUUUCAUUUUACUUCUUGGUGGCUUUUCAUGAAAAAUCAUAUCUUUCAGGAAAGUUUAGAACUGAUUAGCGAAGUAUAGAUGAAAAAGUAGAAAUCUGUGAUAGUUUUUCAUGUUAAGAUUUUGGGUUUUAUCAUAAAAAAUCAACUUUGUUAAGAGAAAUAGCCUAAUAUUAAAUAAG
rnacentral:lncRNA from 1 species